rnacentral:pre_miRNA from 2 species
UAUAUAUAUAUAUAUCCUCUGUAGUCUGGUGAGUGUGUGUGUGUGUACACAUAUAUAUAUAUGUACACACACACACACUCACCAGACUACAGAGGAUUCAUCUC